ACUGAACGCUGGCGGCAGGCCUAACACAUGCAAGUCGAGCGGAUGAAGGGAGCUUGCUCCUGGAUUCAGCGGCGGACGGGUGAGUAAUGCCUAGGAAUCUGCCUGGUAGUGGGGGAUAACGUCCGGAAACGGGCGCUAAUACCGCAUACGUCCUGAGGGAGAAAGUGGGGGAUCUUCGGACCUCACGCUAUCAGAUGAGCCUAGGUCGGAUUAGCUAGUUGGUGGGGUAAAGGCCUACCAAGGCGACGAUCCGUAACUGGUCUGAGAGGAUGAUCAGUCACACUGGAACUGAGACACGGUCCAGACUCCUACGGGAGGCAGCAGUGGGGAAUAUUGGACAAUGGGCGAAAGCCUGAUCCAGCCAUGCCGCGUGUGUGAAGAAGGUCUUCGGAUUGUAAAGCACUUUAAGUUGGGAGGAAGGGCAGUAAGUUAAUACCUCGCUGUUUUGACGUUACCAACAGAAUAAGCACCGGCUAACUUCGUG
rnacentral:rRNA from 1 species